AGUAACACGUAGGUAAUCUGCCCUCGAGCGGGGAAUAAUCCCGGGAAACCGGUUGUAAUACCGCAUAAUGUCUUGCGAAGACAUCUUCGCAGGAUCAAAGGCUUCGGCCACUUGAGGAUGAACCUGCGCCCCAUUAGCUAGUUGGUGAGGUAACGGCUCACCAAGGCGACGAUGGGUAGCUGGUCUGAGAGGACGAUCAGCCACACUGGGACUGAGAUACGGCCCAG
rnacentral:rRNA from 1 species